ensembl:ncRNA W05B2.11 ncRNA
GACUCCAGAAUGUGAUGAUACUCGGAGCUGAAUGAUCUGAAAAAAAAAUGAAUGGGAUGAUUCUGUAAUAGAAAGAAAUCAGUCAAUCUGAAAGAUUUUGUAAAAGUUUUGAUUUUUUGAUAGGAGCUUUGGAGCUCAAUGCCAGACUUU